AAAAAAGAAAGAAGACAGGAAACAGAUCACGCUGAGUUUUUACUGCAAGAAACCUAUGAAAAGUACCCAUUACUAAUAGCACUCAGAACUUGACUCCCAACAAUUCCAAAACAUACACAUUCUGAAUUUCAGCCACCAAAACAGAGAGAAAGAUGAUUUCAUUUCAAAUAUAAAGUCCUGGGGAAGAACUGUGGUUGGUCCAGCUUGAGUCAGAUGCCCAUCCUUGGACAAAUCAACAGUGACCAAAAGCAAAGGUGAUCUACCCCAACCAGACAAAGCUGUGUGCCAUUUCCAAGAUGUUGCUGGCACUCGAACUUUCACUCAAGGUGUCUUACAUACCUUCUCCUCACUCUCAUUCAGAAUGUGCUUCCACAUUCUAUGCGCUCAGACUUCAAAAUCUCACCAACUUCAACAUCCAGGAGAAUAGAAGAGAUGGAAAUAAAGGAGGCAAGAAUGGUUUACAGAUCCAGCUGAAACCGAAUGGAAGGAAAGGCAGUGGAUUUCAUCAAGAUCCUACAGACAAGGUGUAAGAUCUGUAAUUUCGAAAGGACAUAUACACAAACUCAUUCAGCCACAUUCCAGUCUAGAAUUAACAUGAAGAAAAUCUAUUAACAAUGGUAAAGCUUUUUUCCUCUCCAAAUGAAUAUGGCAAUACCCAUUCUGGAGAACUCUUAUUCUCUGUUGAAAUAACACCACUUUUCUAUAUGGCCAUCUAGCAAUAAAUAUAAAAAUGGUUAAUUUGCA
rnacentral:lncRNA from 1 species